UCCACCGAGCGGCGAUCCGACCAAGCAUAAUGCGACUGGCACAUUGGUCGGACCAGUCAAUCUAUCAUGUCAAAUAUUAUUGCGUGUUAUGAUCUUUACUAUGUUCUUUCCGUUAUUACUAGUAUCAUGGUUUCAUAACCAUAUAAUGAUAGAUGGCCUUGGAGAAUUCAUCACGGAGAUUAUUAUGUCUGCGUCAAACAUAAUGGGAGAACGUGGAGCGGUGGAUCGCAACACUCGCCAUGUCCAAACAAGAGUCGGUGCAAUCAUUCGGGAACAAGUGGGUCACAAGAUUGCAAAUCAAACUCGAAUUCGAUCUAACCGUGUAAAUCGCGAACCGAGGUCCGUUUCCUACAUCCGGCAAAGGCGGACGGAGAGUAAGACGAAAGAAGCUGGGAAGAGGAGUUGCAAUGCUCGAUCGAAGGUAGUUAUCGAUCGGAUCGCGGGAUGUGGGAGCAAUAUUGAAGAAUUUUUUGACUCACCAGAAUUUUGUAUAACUGGACCACCUAUGCGUUGACAUUGACCAUGUCACAUUUUAGGAUGAACUUGGAGAAGGACAUAUGCAAAAAUGUCCUCAUAGACUAUGUUUUUUGAUGGAGAGUAUAUGGUCCUAAGGCAAUGAAAAGCUCAUGAUGGAUCUCCACUUUGUUGUAUCUAUUCGAACAUUCUCUGGCUUCUUCCAUGACCAAUCCAUCCAUCGCAUGGAAACAACUGAAGCUGGAUGCAAGUUGAUACAACGAAUACUGGGAUCAAUACAGACGAGGAGAGAUCAAAUGUCCAAUUUGCCUCUGAGAAAACAAGUGCAUUCCAGGUAAAUGUUGUGGACAAAGUAGGCAGCUGCAGGGCGUUCAUGAGGUUGAGAAUCAUUCUGUACGCUUGUCCAUCUAACAACACAUGCAUUUCUGGGAGAGGUUUAAACAGGUUUGGCGAUCCUUCCAAGUUCAAAUGCUCAAGAUGGAGUCAUUCAUUACCACAAGCACUAGCUGUGCAAAGAAAGGAUCGUCAAUUUGCAGAAGUGGGAUCAAUGAUUGUUGUGGUGAUUGAGCUAGCAAGUAGUGAACCCUCAUGUGGCAGGCACUUUGAUGCCUCAUCACCUAUCCUUAAAUAUACUAGAUAAAUGAAGGUUUGCAUGGUUAUUGA